AAGUCGUAACAAGGUCUCCGUAGGGUGAGUUCUAAUCAAACCUUUGUUAACCUUGACGAUCAUAACUAACAGUUUUCCAGUGAACCUGCGGAGGGAUCAUUACCGAGUGAGGGCCUCCGGGCUCGACCUCCAACCCUUUGUUAUUACCAUCUCUGUUGCCUUGGGGGGCGACCCGGCCUCCGCGUCGGGGCCCCCCAGUGGACCAUUCCACUCUGCGUCUUUGCGUCUGAGUCUAAAGCAAAUCAAUUAAAA
rnacentral:misc_RNA from 1 species